rnacentral:rRNA from 1 species
UUGUUAGUUGCCAUCAUUCAGUUGGGCGACUCUAGCGAGACUGCCGGUAAUAAACCGGAGGAAGGUGGGGAUGACGUCAAAUCAUCAUGCCCCUUAUGACCUGGGCUACACACGUGCUACAAUGGUUGGUACAACGAGUUGCGAGUCGGUGACGGCGAGCUAAUCUCUUAAAGCCAAUCUCAGUUCGGAUUGUAGGCUGCAACUCGCCUACAUGAAGUCGGAAUCGCUAGUAAUCGCGGAUCAGCACGCCGCGGUGAAUACGUUCCCGGGCCUU